AAUACCCUUAAAGGUAUUGCAGGUGUGGCUGUGCUGUGCCAUGUGCAUCCAUAGGUGGCAGAAGGAGAGAAACUAUGUUCAUACUUAGUGUUCUGGCCUAUGAACAUUUGAAUUAUUAGUAGCUUAGCAAA